GUAAAUUAAUUAUUUUAUGACUUCAUUAAAACUAACGGAUUUGAUUUUUAAAUGUUUUACAGGUUGUCCGACUUAGAGCAAGGAUCCGCCCUAGCAAAAUUAAAAUUUACUUAUAAAUAAAUCUUAAAGAAUAAGAUUAAUAAAAUAAAAUACAAGAAAACUCUAGAAUAUGUUAGAUAUUAAUAUGUAAAUUGUUUAUAGUAAAAGUAUAAAUAAAUGGAAUAUUCUAGAAUUGAUUUAAUAAUUAAUAUCUAAGAUUUUUUCUUAAACAAUAAUAAAUAAUUUAAAUAUCUAGAUUAUUUUAAUUGUAAUAGAUGCAUAUAAAUACAAAAGGGAAUUAAACAUUCUUACUAAAAAAGAAAAAGAUUGCAGAAACUAUCUCUCUCUUCUCUCGCUCGCUCACCUCCAUCUUCUCUGCGUUCACCACUUUUCUUUCAUCCCUCUCUUCAUCUUCAAAUCCCAACAGCAUACUAAGUGCUAGGAGCGGAGCAUCCAAGGCUCGAGGAGGACAACCGAAGCAAGCUUGAAGAGGUUUGAAUUCAAUCACUUAAGGUGGGGUUUACUUUUAUCUGUAAGCGUAGUUGUUACAUGGUUAUAAUCAUUGUUGUGUUGUGCGUCAUUCAUAUGAACUAAUGGGACCCACAAGGGGUCGGAUCCACAAGGGAUCAAAGAGCUGAACGGCCCACAAGGGGUCAGGUCCACAAGGGACCGAGACUAGUCUCACAAGAUGUCAGCUAAGUGAAAAAUAUAAGAGUUCAACAUGUUAUGAUUCAUUACACAAUUGGUUAUAACUGCUUGCAGUGUUUACCCCACUGAGUGUGCUUGCACACUCAUACCCUAUUAUUUAUGAUUCUUUUCAGGUUAAGGAGUUGACGGCAAGACGGCAGACAUGGAGCUCCACAUUCUCCCGUUCUAUUAUAUGAUGAAGUAUUAUAUGUUGUUGUUUUUGGUAAAUAUAUCUUGCUACUAACCAACUUAGCCUCUUCCAAUUUUGGUGGGUCGAGACUUUAUAUAUAUUGGUUUAUGAUCAUGCAUUUUGAUGACGGCUGUGACCGAAUAUAUAUAUAUAUAUAUUUUGUUUACCGUAUGUGUAGUUACGAGCUGUGCCUCGAACACGUUAAUUAUACUUUUAAACUUGAUGGUUUUGUAUGUACUCCAUCUUUUAUAUAUAUAAAUAUGAUGCUUAGAUAAAGUUAUU